CUGCUACAGGAUUUGGCCCGUAAAUGUGGGUUGAAUCAAGUCUUUUCCCGGAUCCACCCACCUACUCACUGAAGUGAACUUUGUUAACCAUUGCAAGAGGCUGGUACUAUGGACAUGUUUUGAGUGCAUUAUCUCAAAUAAUCAACAUGUCAACCCUGUGAGUUCUCAUGUCCUGAAAAACAAAUGGUAAUGGUGUCAACAUAUGCAGAUACAUUUGAAGAUACAUGAUGAAGAAGAACAUGGAUUGGAGCAUCGGACAGACCAGAGUGGAAGCCAUGACACUCUCGCUGUGCCUAACUGCUGAGUCUUGACCUCUUCGUCAGUGAAGUGGGUAUAACAGCACAGGAUUCAUGCCACAGGAGUCACUGAAGUAUCUGCAGAGAUGAAUGACGUCAGCUGGUGGUUUAGCCCAAUGCUUCUCAGACUGUGCAC